GUGCUUGUGUGUGUGUGUGAAUGUGAAUGUAUAUGUAUGUGUGUAUGCAUUGUUAUAUUCAUUUUUCUUUAGAUAGUGACGCGGAAGGUAUAAGAUGCAUUAUCGAUUUUACCCACGUGCCUGCGCAAAUGGACACGCCCCUGGUCACGAAACGUUUGGCCCCCCGGCUCCACUUCGUAUCUGCCACGUAUGUAUUUCUAGGUUCGAAACGUUUUGCGUUAUACCCUAGUACGUACCGGUACGUAUUGAAGAUGCACUAUAAAAAGCUCAGCGCUCCUGACUCCAGUCAGACAAUAGUUCCUGAUAUAGAAGAUGGCGGACGUAGAAAAGUUUAUAGAAAAGGUUGAAGUUGUGACGGUUGUUCCCCCCCGCAAACCGUGGUGUAAUAUUCGGUCAGUUAUCCUGAGUAUAGGGAUGUUUGCCCUUGGGUGUUUCUUAACUGGUCUAGUGGCACCGUUCAUUGCGCGUUCACAUAGCUGGAUUCCACCACCAAAUGUAUCUCGGAUUCCACCACCAAACGUAUCUUCGAUUCUACCACCAAAUGUGUCGGCAAACAUAACCCCAUUCCCGACUUCCGGUGACAGUGUCGUAAUCGACGAAAUGACACUCGGAUGUGACACCAUCAGGAGGAGACAUAAUUUGUCCGAAUUCAUCGAAGGUCCGGACGAGGAACUAAGCGAGCAAGGGCAGUUCGUGAUGACCCACUGCUUUGGAGAUGACAGUUACCGGCCCGACUCGGAUCACCUGUGCCUUCCCGAUCAAAAGUUUAGCAGGAUGAAGAGACAAGUGUUUAAAAAGCAUAAAAGUUACGUCUGUUAUUCCUGUGAGGUCGCUGUGAUUGAAGAUACCCAGUGUAGAUGGCAGCACAAGGACAGUUACCGACAGAACCAGAAACCUUCCUGCUCCCAUUGCUAGCCGUGGUGUUAGUGAACCCCGAAAUGAGAAGUGGAUCCCACCAGAACCGGCUGUGUGAAUUUGGGGGAGGGGGAGUGAGAAGCUAUUCUCGCAGCGACUGCUUGCUCAACAGCAACCACGAAAACGCGUCAAAACGUGUCCCCCACAUGCACUGCUGUGUCCCGCCUCAAGCCUGGCCUGUCUCGUCGUUGUGGUAAUAACUGUUGUGACGCCUGUCUUGGCGGAAAUAAGCAUUUAUAUAUAUUCAUAUACUUAAUAUUCCUCGCCGCUGGCCGUGCGAAAUUUAAGUUUUAUACAAUAUGUUGUUACUUUGAAGAAAGUUUGAUGUAUUAGAUGUUUACGCCACUGUGAUGUAGCUUAGUACUUUGAAGAAAGUGUCAUUUAUUUAAUAUAUAUGCCGUUGUGAUGUAACUUAUUCCAAUGAUGACUGUAGCAUAUAUUAUGCUAUCUAUUGAAUGCGGGUUAUUGGUGUAUUAGAGACUGCAGUUCGGCUAUUUUGACGAAGGAUAAUACUCAUAUUUCUUCGUGUCUGCAGUAUACACACACACACACACCAAACGGUUAAAUAUGGUUUAAUGGGCAUUGUGACGAGCACCUUCAUUCCUUUCAAAUACCCAGGGUAGCUACCGCUCUCUCAUUUUUAUUUUAUUUAUUUGUUUUUUAAUUAUUUAUUUAUUUAUUUUGUCAGAAGAUAAAAGGAAAGGAGUGAAAUUGUUCAAGAAUUUGUGGCUCACCAGGUUCAACUUUUUGGUUGUGCUUUAUUCCUUCUUGCCAGUAUCAGCUGCUAGUCCAAGAUGUUUUAUUGUAACUCUCAAUAGUUUGUUGUAAUUCAGUUCCUCUCUACUACUGGGUUGUUAUCUUGUGAUCUCUGUCAUUACGUUUGUCAUGGCCUGCUCAACUUGUGAUUUGUAUAUUUGUAUCAGUGUUGUAAAGAUAAUGGCUUCAUAGUCAGAGGCCAGCCGUGGCAAUAGUAUUUUCCUUUAUUUUUGUAAUUUUUUCAAGCAAUGUUUAUUGAGAUAAUAUUUUCCAUAUAUUUUGUAAUUGAUUCAAACAAUGAUUACUGAGAUGUUUUCCAUAUAUCUUGUAAUUGCUGCAAUCCAUAUAUCUUGUAAUUGCUUCAACAAUUUUUACGGAGAUAAUAUUUUCCAUAUAUUUUGUAAUUGCUUCAAGCAAUGUUUACUGAGAUGUUUUCCAUAUAUUUUUUAAUUGCUUGAAGUUUAUGUAGUUAGUAUUCAUGAGUCAAAUAACAUGUAUGUAUCAAUCAAUACCUCUCUAUGUGUUGUAUUUUAGGAUUGAUUUUGUGAUGAGUAAGUUACUGCGCAAGUCAUCGAAGGCCAGAAUUUGCAAGUGAGGUAAAUAAAAUAUAUAAAUACC